UACGAAGGGGGCUAGCGUUGCUCGGAAUCACUGGGCGUAAAGCGCACGUAGGCGGAUUGCUAAGUCAGGGGUGAAAUCCUGGAGCUCAACUCCAGAACUGCCUUUGAUACUGAAGAUCUUGAGUUCGGGAGAGGUGAGUGGAACUGCGAGUGUAGAGGUGAAAUUCGUAGAUAUUCGGAAGAACACCAGUGGCGAAGGCGACUCACUGGACACAUAUUGACGCUGAGGUGCGAAAGCGUGGGGAGCAAACAGG
rnacentral:rRNA from 1 species